UUUCCGUAGGUGAACCUGCGGAAGGAUCAUUACCGAGUGAGGGCCCUCUGGGUCCAACCUCCCACCCGUGUUUAUCGUACCUUGUUGCUUCGGCGGGCCCGCCUCACGGCCGCCGGGGGGCACCCGCCCCCGGGCCCGCGCCCGCCAAAGACACCAUUGAACGCUGUCUGAAGAUUGCAGUCUGAGCAUCUUAGCUAAAUCAGUUAAAACUUUCAACAACGGAUCUCUUGGUUCCG
rnacentral:misc_RNA from 1 species